CCUACGGGGGGCAGCAGUGAGGAAUAUUGGUCAAUGGGCGAGAGCCUGAACCAGCCAAGUCGCGUGAGGGAGUACUGCCCUAUGGGUUGUAAACCUCUUUUGUCGGGGAGCAAAAGCCGGACGUGUCCGGCUGUGAGAGUACCCGAAGAAAAAGCAUCGGCUAACUCCGUGCCAGCAGCCGCGGUAAUACGGAGGAUGCGAGCGUUAUCCGGAUUUAUUGGGUUUAAAGGGUGCGCAGGCGGAUUUUUAAGUCAGCGGUAAAAUCGUGGGGCUCAACCCCAUCCAGCCGUUGAAACUGGGGAUCUAGAGUGUGCGAGAGGUAUGCGGAAUGCGUGGGGUAGCGGUGAAAUGCAUAGAUAUCACGCAAAACCCCGAUUGCGAAGGCAGCAUACCGGUGCACAACUGACGCUCAGGCACGAAAGCGUGGGUAUCGAACAGGAUUAGAUACCCCUGUAGUC
rnacentral:rRNA from 1 species